AUGGUCAGCGCGGCGGUAAAAAAUAGGGUGCAAGCGUGUCGGAAUUAUUGGGCGUAAGGAGCUCGUAGGUGGUCGAUCACGUCGGAUGUGAAAUCUGAGGCUUAACCUCGGACUGCAUUCGAUACGGGUUGACUAGAGUGUGGUAGGGGAGACUGGAAUUCCUGGUGUAGCGGUGGAAUGCGCAGAUAUCAGGAGGAACACGAUGGCGAAGGCAGGUCUCUGGGCCAUUACUGACACUGAGGAGCGAAAGCGUGGGGAGCGAACAGGAUUAGAUACCCUGGUAGUCCACGCUGUAAACGGUGGGCGCUAGUUGUGGGAACCUUCCACGGUUUCUGCGACGCAGCUAACGCAUUAAGCGCCCCGCCUGGGGAGUACGGUCGCAAGACUAAAACUCAAAGAAAUUGACGGGGCCCCGCACAAGCAGCGGAGCAUGCGGCUUAAUUCGACGCAACGCGAAGAACCUUACCAAGGCUUGACAUAUACAGGAAUACGGCAGAGAUGUCGUAGCCGCAAGGUCUGUAUACAGGUGGUGCAUGGUUGUCGUCAGCUCGUGUCGUGAGAUGUUGGGUUAAGUCCCGCAACGAGCGCAACCCUCGUCCUGUGUUACCAGCAUUUAGUUGGGGACUCACAGGAGACUGCCGGGGUCAACUCGGAGGAAGGUGGGGAUGACGUCAAAUCAUCAUGCCCCUUAUGUCUUGGGCUGCACGCAUGCUACAAUGGCUGGUACAAAGGGCUGCGAUACCGCGAGGUGGAGCGAAUCCCAAAAAGCCAGUCUCAGUUCGGAUUGGGGUCUGCAACUCGACCCCAUGAAGUCGGAGUUGCUAGUAAUCGUAGAUCAGCAACGCUACGGUGAAUACGUUCCCGGGGCUUGCACACACCGCCCGUCAAAU
rnacentral:rRNA from 1 species